AUGGAUUGAGAUGAUGUGGAUGGGCCCAUGCUAAGUGCUGGGCUCAGGAAAGUCCCCGGGCCCAAUCUGCAGAAAUGCAGGCCUGGAAACAGGUAAAUCUUUGAGCCGGGGCUGGUUUCACACUUUCGGGUGUGAGGGCUGAGACAAGUGUGGAGCCUUUGCCAGUGCCGCCAAAGAAAAUUGGCCGAUUCAUACAGUCAUUCACAUGGUCCUUGUGACUAACAGAACGGGGCUUAUGUCUCUAAUCCA
rnacentral:RNase_MRP_RNA from 2 species